AAAUUGAAGAGUUUGAUCAUGGCUCAGAUUGAACGCUGGCGGCAGGCCUAACACAUGCAAGUCGAACGGUAACAGGAAGAAGCUUGCUUCUUUGCUGACGAGUGGCGGACGGGUGAGUAAUGUCUGGGAAACUGCCUGAUGGAGGGGGAUAACUACUGGAAACGGUAGCUAAUACCGCAUAAUGUCGCAAGACCAAAGAGGGGGACCUUCGGGCCUCUUGCCAUCGGAUGUGCCCAGAUGGGAUUAGCUAGUAGGUGGGGUAACGGCUCACCUAGGCGACGAUCCCUAGCU
rnacentral:rRNA from 1 species